UAAGAGGCCGUCCACGGAGAUAUCAGGCAGUAGCUAUAAUACGGCUGGCACAUGCAAUUCCCCAAAAUUUUAUUCAUACCCAAUAAAAGUUAAGGUCAUACGCUAAUUUUAUCGUAUGUAAAGUGAAUUUCACAAAAAACAUUGUUAGAUGCCAAAACUUGGCCUAUUUCAUAAAUUCGAGGACACUAUAUAAUCUAUAGAAAAUGAUCAUUUUGUAAAGUUAAAUAAUACCCAAUACAAUAAAAUUUGUCCAGAAAGUAUAAACAAUAUUUGAAGGAAAUUCCUUAAUAAUUAAGAUGAAACAAUAAAAUUGCUGGGAAACAAUGCUGUUGUUGAGCAUUUACUGACAGAAGUAGCCAAAAAGCCAGUAAUUUGAGUUACCUCCCUUGGCGUAAAAAAUGUAAAAUGAUCCGAAACUUGCAUAAAUUGUAAUUUUCGAAGAAAACAGUAUUUAUUUAGAACAUUUUUCACUUAUCUCGAUUUUUUUAUCAAGUGUAAACGUGGAAUUAAUUUUUUUUUUUAAUUUGAUGGUGAAAAAUAAAUAUUCUGCCCGGACCUUAUCAAAGUUUCGUGGGUAAACAGAUAUGGCUGACAAGUGAUAGAAACGUGAAGUUUUUCUAGGAGUGGUCCUUAUUUUAGGGACUUGUCAACCCUUAAUAAUUGUUCAAAAGACAUAAGUGGAUAUUCAAGAUAUUUUAAAGUUGGAACUGCGUGUAAUAUUCUACCGAGAUUGACCCCCUGCUGUACAGAUCGGGGUACUUCGAAUUCGACGUAAAAGUUUAACUGUUUAAACUAUCGUGCACGGUGCAGAUGCUUACUAGUAUGCCGAGGUCAUUGCGAUUCUUUGGGGAUUUACUGGAGGCAACCACCACCAAAUGUUGUUAUCUACUACACAAAGGAAAGUGUAAAACAGACAGAGCAGUAAACUUCAAUGUUUCAAGGGAAAUAUUUGUUCCCGUUGGAAGUGAUUUGGAAAAUAGUUAUAGUCAAAAACUGCAAGCCAAUUAUCAGACUGUAUCACUCACCUGAGCUGAAAGCUAAAGAGGCUAAAGAAUUAGGGUAUGGAGGCGAUCAAAGUAUGAUGUGGGAAUAUACAGGAAAUUAAAACAAAUUCUUUUCAAGGUUAGCAGGGCCACACUAAAUCCUUUCAAACUGCAAAUGUUCCUAAUUUGUGUUGAUUCAUUUUUCAUUUCUAUGCACCCAUGACUAAAGUCGGGGGGGGGGGGGGGGGGAAUAUCUGUCUGGAACUUGCUCAUGUUAGUAAUAAGGCUCUCAUAUUUUUAUUCCUUAUAAUAAGACAUUUCUUUUGAUAUCAAUUUUUUUUUACUUUUGUGCUUGGCCUACUUUUAACAAAAUAUAACCUACAGUAGGCAAUUCUCCUGAACUAUAUAUAAGGUAGUCUAGCCUUUUAUGUUUAGUAUUUAGAUAUCUUAUGGCAAGAACUUUCAUUUGAUACCAUGCUGUUUGAUAUUGUGACCUUGGUUUUGAAGUUUAACCCAGAUUUUAUUAUAUUGAUAUUUUACAUAAAGAUAUACAAAAUGUGUAUAUUCUUUAUUACCAGACUUUUAAUUUAGUACCUGACCUUAGUCUUUAAAAUAGCAUGAUUUUCAAAAACUUUAAAUUGGUAUAUAGUUUCUCAGCCACUUUGGAUUGGGCUUUGAUAUAGAUUUCACAUAUUAUAGAUUAAUACUAAUGAAAAGAGCUUUACUUUUGAACUUCUGACUUUGACCAUGUUGACCUACUUUUGAAAAACAUUCAUUAUUACCAGAUCUGUUAUAUCUUGAGGGAUAAGGUAUUGGGUUAGUUUGUUUCACAUGAAAUGCCUAAUGACCAGAAUUUAUUUUAUAUCAUGACCUUUUACCUUGUGACUAUAUCAAACAUAUGAUCUUGACUUUCUUAGUGCAUUGCUUACAGUGCUAUUUAAACAUGUUCAUCAUUUUAUUUCCAUUAAUUUACACAACUGUUGUUAUUUAGAUCUCACCUGAGUCCAAGAUAGGAAGAGGCUUUGGAGAGAACACAGAAUUACUACAGACAAAAGACUUGUGAAGUUAUAAGGGGAAUUGCAGAACUCAUAGCUCCACUUCAAUCUAGAUAUGUUGACAGUUAUUUCACAGAAACACUUUGCAGCUGACAAAGAUAAUCAAAUGAUGACCACUACUUAACUCUAUGGUUGCAGCAUAUUUCAAUUUUUGAAGUGACAAAUUUUAUUCCUGUUUGUGAACCAAUAUUCAAAAGAAACACUGCUAUGGCAUUAGACAUAAAUUAGAAGAGAUUGGUGGGGUGGCAAAAUAAGAUUCCAUACUGUGAAAUGUAUCAAUUGUUAAUAUACAUGUAUCAAUAUAAAUUCAGUGCCAAUUUUCAUAAUUUCUAGGGGAAAAGUUUGUUUGUAACAAAUGUCAGAAAUAUGCACUAGCUCUUACUUUGCAAACCAUGCUACUAAGUACCAGGCAUUAAGACAUGAUUUGUUUAUUGUCAUUUGUUAAACAGAGACAGAGACAGUGAUUUGAAGGGAGGGGGGGGGGGGGGUCCAGAAAAAUGAUCUAAAAUCUGCAUUAGGUCAUAUCCGAUGAAUUGAUAAAGUAAAUAUGUUUAUUAUUGAUUGCUAGUUACAUGUAACCUUUUAUGCAUCAGUUGAAGAUACUUUAUGAACAUUUUCUGUCACUGGGUAAAAUUCAACAAGCAUUUUGUGUAUCUGGAAGUGGUCAAUAUAUAUUUCAACAUCAGAGUAAACAUGCAUUAAAGCAAGUCUGCCAAUCUGAUGUAGGCAGAAAAUGGAAUAUGGCAUGUUAUUUCAUGAAUGCAAAGGGAAAUGCUUUACAAGAGAGUCAAAAAAUUUCUGGUUAAUGCUAAAUAACUAUCUAGAUGUCCCAGAGAAAAGGAGAGGGUGUUUUCUACCCCUCCACCCCAACCCCCUCGGGAUCUGCCAAUGUCAAGUUUGUAAUGUGAGUGAAUGAAUUUAGAUUCUUCAUGAUAGGCAAUUUAUUAAAAUUUGUUUUACUGAUAAUUUUAACUUCAUAUAUGUGUGUUAAUUAAUUGACUAUUAUCUCAAAUCCUGUGUCAGAAAUGACCUCUAAAAAUCAACAUUGUAAAAUUUUAUACAAUGAAUUACAUAGGCAUUUUUUUGCCUUUAUUAUAUAGAAUGUAUACAAAGACAUGAAAUUCAUUUCUGAAUGUUCAUAUGUUCUAGUAAUUUUUCAUGAAUUUUAAUCAUUUAAUCAUUGAUUUGUUAUAUCUACUUCAUAUUUAUUUCUAUUUAUGUAGUUCAACAAUCUUCAUUUAAGUAGUUGACCUUUUUGCACUUAUUGAAAAUUUUGAGAUUUCAGUUCAACUUUUCACCAUCAAACCUUGCUUUUCCCACUGAAUUUAUUUUUGUAACUUGAAAUACACCUCUUAAAGUUUCUGGUUAUACAUAAUCUAUUUCUUUUGAGACAUUGUAUUGGGUUUUGUGAGAUCUUAUAUUUUGAUCAUUAUUUUGUAAAAUAUAUUGGUGUGAAAUAUGUGCAAUUUUAACAAUUAAUAAAUUCAUUCAUUGGAUGAAUAUACACACAAAAACCCUCUUAGUUAUUGCAUAUAGUGUAUAUCUAACAUAUAAAAUAUUGCUUUUCUCUAUUUUUUAGUUAUAUGACAUUUUAGAGCUGUUCAAACAUAGCACUUUUUUCCAAUAUUUCGUGACCUUUUUGCACCGAAAAUUAUCUCAAAGUUGUUUUUCCAUGUCGAACCCAAACUAAACAUGAUAGAAACUUUUUAUUUGGCAAAUUUCAUAUUGGGGUCAGUAGGAACCUGUGCACAAAGUUUCAUGAAAAUCUGAGAGAUAGCAUGUGCCGACCUCUGCCUGAUAUCAUAAUGGACACCCU